CCAGGCAGGCCUUGAACUUGAAAUCUUCCUGCCUCCAACUUCCAUUACAGGAACCAGUAUCGAUGGCCUUGGAGAGAUCAAGUGACAGAGAGAUGGAGGAUGGCCUCGGUCUGCAGCUCAGAACAGAACCCUGGUUCCUGGUCCCUGUGCCAGCUCUGACUUUCACUUCAGGAAGGACCUGAGGGUAGAAGCUAUGAAGAGCCCUAGCAGUAACCAAGACCCAGGUGGGGCCUCAUUGCCCAUCACCCCUGCCUGGGCCCAACAUGGCACCUCUCCCUGUUCUUCACCCCGCCAAGGGCUUUCUAGUUCCUCUGAGGCAAGAUUCUCUAACAUUUCACAGGCCAGGGCUUCCUGUCCAGAUGGACAUCACCCCCAGCCUGCCUCUCAUGCCAAUCCAGGGAGAAUCUUGAGCCACUGUCCUGAAUGCCAGGACCCACACUUCACUACAGUUGGACUCAACUCUCUUGCUUCAUCCUAAUCCCAGCUCAAAUAGGCCAUUAGUUAAAUUUUUCAUAUUUUAUCAUAGUUUUGAACAUUCAUUGUUAUGUUUUAAUAUUGCAUUAAUGUUGUGAUGAUUGCUUUCUGUC